GAAGGGGGGCCGCUAAUCCACUGUUCCUCUUCUUCCCCUGUUCAAACAAAGAAGCAGCGGCAGUAGAGUGGCGAACAGUGGCAACAAACCUCCCUCUUUCACUCUCUUAGACUUCUCCUCGUUUUUCUUCAUCUUCUUCUUCCCGUAUCUCCCCUUUCUUCUUCCUCUGUCCUAUCACAGCCGCUGCAACCAUUUGUAACGGCGAUUUGAAUCAACUAGCGUUGGCACCCCAUCUCAAUAACUCUUUCUCUCUCUCUCUCUCACACUCAUUCGUCUUCUUCUUCUUCUUCUUCUUCUUCUUCUUCCUCAGACCACCCAACAUCCAUUAUUCAUCGUCCCCUUCCUCUCAAAUCCGAACUGAAGCAGAGUAGUGGAGACCCCUCCUAGCUUCUUUCUUAUUGCCUGCCUCUCUCCCACUCCUCCCUCACAUCGUUUUCCCUUCUCCCUCUUCCCCCAUUUUCUCCCUCCCUCUGUUUUGUCUCCGCCGCUGUAACGUCCAGUGGCGGUAGAUCUGCCCGUCCCAUCUCUAAUCUCUCUCUCGCUUUCUCUCUCUACACAUAUAUAUUCUUCUCCUUCUUCUUCUAUUUUUUUACCCAAAAAGGAUACUUCACAGUCUUCCUUUCUUGAAACAACGGUGAACAGAGGCGGUGGCAACUUUUCAAUUCGAUUGAAGCAGAUCCAUGUCCGAUCACAAUCAUUCAUAGCUAUCAUCAUUAGGAUUAUGGUGCCCUGUUCAAAUCGCACUUCACUACUGAUCUCUCAAGUUCAAUUUCGGUCCCCGUCGUUGUUUCUAGACUCUCUGUCUGAAAGAGACAAAAUCUUCCCUUUGCAGCUUCCAGGUUCAGGAAAAAACCCAACCAGAUGCCUGAAACAUAUUGAUUCUGGUCUUCUUUACUAUCUCCGUAUAGAUCAGACACAGGGAAUUGCGGUUCAAAGAUCUGACUUGCUUGGGCUAAUCAUGCGCCGAAAUGAACUUGCCAAUGAUAUUUUGAAGGCAUCAAUAAUACAACAAUUACCUCCAAUG